CGGGAAGUAGCUCAGCUUGGUAGAGCGCUUGGUUUGGGACCAAGGGGUCGCAGGUUCGAAUCCUGUCUUCCCGA
rnacentral:tRNA from 5 species